rnacentral:rRNA from 1 species
UGGGGAAUAUUGGACAAUGGGCGCAAGCCUGAUCCAGCAAUGCCGCGUGUGUGAAGAAGGCCUGCGGGUUGUAAAGCACUUUCGGUGGGGAGAAGGAAGCUGCUGCGAAGAGCGGUGGUGGAAGAUGUUACCCACAGAAGAAGCACCGGCUAACUCUGUGCCAGCAGCCGCGGUAAUACAGAGGGUGCGAGCGUUAAUCGGAAUUAUUGGGCGUAAAGGGUGCGUAGGUGGUUUUAUAAGUUAGAGGUGAAAGUCCUGGGCUUAACCUGGGGACGGCUUCUAAUACUGUAGAGCUGGAGUACUGUAGAGGGGAGUGGAAUUUCCGGUGUAGCGGUGAAAUGCGUAGAUAUCGGAAGGAACACCGGUGGCGAAGGCGACUUUCUGGACAGUGACUGACACUGAGGCACGAAAGCAUGGGGAGCAAACAG